CGUAGGUGANCCUGCGGAAGGAUCAUUAUUGAAUAAACUUGGUUGGGUUGUUGCUGGCUUUUCGGAGCAUGUGCACGCCUAGCGCCAUUUUUACCACCUGUGCACUUAUUGUAGAUUUGAAAACACCUUCUCGAGGCAACUCGGUUUGAGGACUGCUGUGCGCAAGCUAAGCUUUCCUUGCGUUUUCAAGUCUAUGUUUUUAUAUACCCCAUAAGAAUGUUUUAGAAUGUCAUUAAUGGGCUUUACUGCCUCUAAAUUAAUACAACUUUCAACAACGGAUCUCUUGGUUCUCGCAUCGAUGAAGAACGCAGCGAAAUGCGAUAAGUAAUGUGAAUUGCAGAAUUCAGUGAAUCAUCGAAUCUUUGAACGCACCUUGCGCUCCUUGGUAUUCCGAGGAGCAUGCCUGUUUGAGUGUCAUUAAAUUCUCAACCUUUUCAGCUUUUGCGAGUUGGAUUGGCUUGGAUGUGGAGGUUUGCAGGCUUCUCAGAAGUCAGCUCCUCUUAAAUACAUUAGCGGAACCUUUGUGGACCAGCUUUGGUGUGAUAAUUAUCUACGCCAUGGCCGUGAAGCAGCUUUACAUGGGGUUCAGCUUCUAAUCGUCCAUUGACUUGGACAAUUUCUGACAUUUUGACCUCAAAUCAGGUAGGACUACCCGCUGAACUU
rnacentral:rRNA from 1 species